rnacentral:lncRNA from 1 species
GGACAAGCAGACUUUGACAUCAGGAGGAGCAGAGCUCAAGGGCAAAGCCCGGCCUCACUGUGCUGGAACUCCUCAACCACCUGAGCAGCGUUCUGUGAGUGUACCAUGCACCCCGCUUCUGGGGCCCCUCUGGCCUCUGAAGUCAUGUAUGAAAUGGUGUGCAAGUGUACACACAUGUGCAUGUGCAAGCAUGC